rnacentral:rRNA from 1 species
CAGUAGCCGCGGGAAUACGAAGGGGGCUAGCGUUGCUCGGAAUGACUGGGCGUAAAGGGCGCGUAGGCGGAUGGCAUAGUCAGGCGUGAAAUUCCUGGGCUCAACCUGGGGACGGCGCUUGAUACGUGUUGUCUAGAGUGGGGAAGAGGGUUGUGGAAUUCCCAGUGUAGAGGUGAAAUUCGUAGAUAUUGGGAAGAACACCGGUGGCGAAGGCGGCAACCUGGUCCUUGACUGACGCUGAGGCGCGAAAGCGUGGGGAGCAAACAGGAUUAGAUACCCGCGUAGUCCCUGUCUCUUAUAC